GACAGCAAAGGACCCAGGAUAACUGCAAGCCCUUUGACCUGAGCAGUUGCUCAAGUUUUUGGCCUGAUCAAUAGAAGAAUGAAAUUGCCACCAACUGAGAUGGAGAAGACUGCCAGAGAAGCAGGUUUGGGAAAAAUACAGUUGUUCAGUUAUGCACCUGUUGAGUUUGAGUUUUCUACUAAAGAUCUAAAUAGAGAUGUCACAAAGGGAAUUGAAUAUACAAGUCUGGAGACCAAAUUAGCAUACAGAUAGAAAGCCAAAAGCCUGAAAUGAGGUCGUCAGGAAGUGAUGUAAUGGAGAAGAAGUCAUUGCCCUAGUGUACUCCAACAAUAAGAGUCCUGGGAGACCAGAAAAUGAGUAUGAGUAGAAGCAAUCAGCCAAGUAGGGGAAAGACCAAGACAGACAUGUUCGGAAAGACCAGCGAUUAACAUGACUCUAGGAGGUACAAAUGAUCCUCUGUGUCAAGAGCUGACAGAUCAGCUAAGCUGAGAAUUGGCCCUUGGAUUUAACAAUGUGGAGGGUUGGCUUCAGUGGAGGGUUGGAAGAAAAGCUGACUGAAGCUUUGACUGCAGAUGAGUGGGUUGAGAGAAGCUACAAAGUUUACAGCAUGGCAAAAAGCAGUUUGGAAUGCAUGCUCUCUGGAGGACUGAUAAAAGGAGGAAGGGAAAAAAUGAGCCACGCACCCCAGUUCAUUCUCCAGACUGGCUUACCCAGGAAAUCAUUUCUUCUUGGAAGAGUACAAGUACAAGAAUAUUAAGAGUCCCAAAGACUGAAGUGAACUUCAUACCCAGAAGAGGGAAGAGAACCCCUGCAACUGUAAAAACAAGAACAACUUUGUGACAAUUUGUUACCCUGUGUGCGAUCUCUAUGGAAACUGCUCUGCUCAGCAGGCCUACAGUCUUAGAGGCAUUAGCCCACUGUGACCUCCAUUGUCUGGCAAAGAAAUAAAGCUGCCUUUUCUACCUCAUCUAAAACUUCCAUAAGUGGGGUACGUAGGUCGUGUUUCAGCAACAUUACAAUCUGUAUUGCAAUAUUGUGAAAAAUGUAUAUUUGGUCAUUCAGAUGACCGAAUAUACAUAUCACUUACAGCUGGUCUUUGUGUGGUUCCUGGCUCACAGCUCCCCAAACGUUUGUAAUUUUCUAAGUGUGGAGAGUAAUUUUUAAAGUGCCUUUGUUAUGCUAAUGAGAUGAUAUUUGGAUCUCCUAAGAAAGUAGGCUGGUUGCCAGUGGAGC